rnacentral:rRNA from 1 species
GGUUAAGCGACUAAGCGUACACGGUGGAUGCCCUGGCAGUCAGAGGCGAUGAAGGACGUGCUAAUCUGCGAUAAGCGUCGGUAAGGUGAUAUGAACCGUUAUAACCGGCGAUUUCCGAAUGGGGAAACCCAGUGUGAUUCGUCACACUAUCAUUAACUGAAUCCAUAGGUUAAUGAGGCGAACCGGGGGAACUGAAACAUCUAAGUACCCCGAGGAAAAGAAAUCAACCGAGAUUCCCCCAGUAGCGGCGAGCGAACGGGGAGCAGCCCAGAGCCUGAAUCAGUGUGUGUGUUAGUGGAAGCGUCUGGAAAGGCGCGCGAUACAGGGUGACAGCCCCGUACACAAAAAUGCACAUGCUGUGAGCUCGAUGAGUAGGGCGGGACACGUGGUAUCCUGUCUGAAUAUGGGGGGACCAUCCUCCAAGGCUAAAUACUCCUGACUGACCGAUAGUGAACCAGUACCGUGAGGGAAAGGCGAAAAGAACCCCGGCGAGGGGAGUGAAAAAGAACCUGAAACCGUGUACGUACAAGCAGUGGGAGCCUCUUUAUGGGGUGACUGCGUACCUUUUGUAUAAUGGGUCAGCGACUUAUAUUCUGUAGCAAGGUUAACCGAAUAGGGGAGCCGAAGGGAAACCGAGUCUUAACUGGGCGUUAAGUUGCAGGGUAUAGACCCGAAACCCGGUGAUCUAGCCAUGGGCAGGUUGAAGGUUGGGUAACACUAACUGGAGGACCGAACCGACUAAUGUUGAAAAAUUAGCGGAUGACUUGUGGCUGGGGGUGAAAGGCCAAUCAAACCGGGAGAUAGCUGGUUCUCCCCGAAAGCUAUUUAGGUAGCGCCUCGUGAAUUCAUCUCCGGGGGUAGAGCACUGUUUCGGCAAGGGGGUCAUCCCGACUUACCAACCCGAUGCAAACUGCGAAUACCGGAGAAUGUUAUCACGGGAGACACACGGCGGGUGCUAACGUCCGUCGUGAAGAGGGAAAUAACCCAGACCGCCAGCUAAGGUCCCAAAGUCAUGGUUAAGUGGGAAACGAUGUGGGAAGGCCCAGACAGCCAGGAUGUUGGCUUAGAAGCAGCCAUCAUUUAAAGAAAGCGUAAUAGCUCACUGGUCGAGUCGGCCUGCGCGGAAGAUGUAACGGGGCUAAACCAUGCACCGAAGCUGCGGCAGCGACGCUUAUGCGUUGUUGGGUAGGGGAGCGUUCUGUAAGCCUGCGAAGGUGUACUGUGAGGUAUGCUGGAGGUAUCAGAAGUGCGAAUGCUGACAUAAGUAACGAUAAAGCGGGUGAAAAGCCCGCUCGCCGGAAGACCAAGGGUUCCUGUCCAACGUUAAUCGGGGCAGGGUGAGUCGACCCCUAAGGCGAGGCCGAAAGGCGUAGUCGAUGGGAAACAGGUUAAUAUUCCUGUACUUGGUGUUACUGCGAAGGGGGGACGGAGAAGGCUAUGUUGGCCGGGCGACGGUUGUCCCGGUUUAAGCGUGUAGGCUGGUUUUCCAGGCAAAUCCGGAAAAUCAAGGCUGAGGCGUGAUGACGAGGCACUACGGUGCUGAAGCAACAAAUGCCCUGCUUCCAGGAAAAGCCUCUAAGCAUCAGGUAACAUCAAAUCGUACCCCAAACCGACACAGGUGGUCAGGUAGAGAAUACCAAGGCGCUUGAGAGAACUCGGGUGAAGGAACUAGGCAAAAUGGUGCCGUAACUUCGGGAGAAGGCACGCUGAUACGUAGGUGAAGCGACUUGCUCGUGGAGCUGAAAUCAGUCGAAGAUACCAGCUGGCUGCAACUGUUUAUUAAAAACACAGCACUGUGCAAACACGAAAGUGGACGUAUACGGUGUGACGCCUGCCCGGUGCCGGAAGGUUAAUUGAUGGGGUUAGCGGUAACGCGAAGCUCUUGAUCGAAGCCCCGGUAAACGGCGGCCGUAACUAUAACGGUCCUAAGGUAGCGAAAUUCCUUGUCGGGUAAGUUCCGACCUGCACGAAUGGCGUAAUGAUGGCCAGGCUGUCUCCACCCGAGACUCAGUGAAAUUGAACUCGCUGUGAAGAUGCAGUGUACCCGCGGCAAGACGGAAAGACCCCGUGAACCUUUACUAUAGCUUGACACUGAACAUUGAGCCUUGAUGUGUAGGAUAGGUGGGAGGCUUUGAAGUGUGGACGCCAGUCUGCAUGGAGCCGACCUUGAAAUACCACCCUUUAAUGUUUGAUGUUCUAACGUUGGCCCCUAAUCGGGGUUGCGGACAGUGUCUGGUGGGUAGUUUGACUGGGGCGGUCUCCUCCUAAAGAGUAACGGAGGAGCACGAAGGUUGGCUAAUCCUGGUCGGACAUCAGGAGGUUAGUGCAAUGGCAUAAGCCAGCUUGACUGCGAGCGUGACGGCGCGAGCAGGUGCGAAAGCAGGUCAUAGUGAUCCGGUGGUUCUGAAUGGAAGGGCCAUCGCUCAACGGAUAAAAGGUACUCCGGGGAUAACAGGCUGAUACCGCCCAAGAGUUCAUAUCGACGGCGGUGUUUGGCACCUCGAUGUCGGCUCAUCACAUCCUGGGGCUGAAGUAGGUCCCAAGGGUAUGGCUGUUCGCCAUUUAAAGUGGUACGCGAGCUGGGUUUAGAACGUCGUGAGACAGUUCGGUCCCUAUCUGCCGUGGGCGCUGGAGAACUGAGGGGGGCUGCUCCUAGUACGAGAGGACCGGAGUGGACGCAUCACUGGUGUUCGGGUUGUCAUGCCAAUGGCACUGCCCGGUAGCUAAAUGCGGAAGAGAUAAGUGCUGAAAGCAUCUAAGCACGAAACUUGCCCCGAGAUGAGUUCUCCCUGACUCCCUGAGAGUCCUGAAGGAACGUUGAAGACGACGACGUUGAUAGGCCGGGUGUGUAAGCGCAGCGAUGCGUUGAGCUAACCGGUACUAAUGAACCGUGAGGCUUAACCUU